GUGCUCAAGCUCAGUGGCAGAUCAUCUGCUUCACAUGAAGAAGGUCCUAGGUUCAGUCCCUGGCAUCUCCU